AACGUAGGAGACAAACGUUUAUCCGGAGUUACUGGGCGUAAAGGGCGUGUAGGUGGUUUUGUAAGUCUGGCGCGAAAUUUUUCGGCUUAACCGGGAAAGGUCGUCGGAUACUGCAAGGCUAGAGGACGGUAGAGGCGUGUGGAAUUCCGGGUGUAGUGGUGAAAUGCGUAGAGAUCCGGAGGAACACCAGUGGCGAAGGCGACACGCUGGGCCGUACCUGACACUGAUGCGCGACAGCAGUGGGGAGCAAACGAGG
rnacentral:rRNA from 1 species